rnacentral:rRNA from 1 species
UGGGGAAUCUUGGGCAAUGGGCGAAAGCCUGACCCAGCCACCCUGCUCGGCAGGGUCUGACGGUACCGUACGAAUAAGCACCGGCUAACUCCGUGCCAGCAGCCGCGGUAAUACGGAGGGUGCAAGCGUUGUCCGGAAUCACUGGGUGUAAAGGGUGUGUAGGCGGACCUAUAAGUCAGGGGUGAAAGCCACCGGCCCAACCGGUGAACUGCCCUUGAUACUGUAGGUCUUGAGUCCUGGAGGGGUCACUAGAAUUCGUGGUGUAGCGGUGAAAUGCGUAGAUAUCACGAGGAAUACCAGAGGUGAAGGCGGGUGACUGGACAGGUACUGACGCUGAGGCACGAAAGCGUGGGGAGCAAACAGGAUUAGAUACCCCUGUAGUCC